AGCCGGCACUAGUUCUGACACUGUAACAGUUGGUUGACCUUUACAGUAAAGUUUCUUAAUCUACAUGCAUUUAAAAUAAUAUAUAGGUAAAAUAUCUGUCUCUUUGGAUAAUUAGUAAGUAUGUAUUAUGUUCCAAUAAUAUUUAAGAUGUUUUAAUUAACUCUAUAAAAA